UAGGGAAUCUUCCACAAUGGACGCAAGUCUGAUGGAGCAACGCCGCGUGAGUGAAGAAGGCUUUCGGAUCGUAAAGCCCUGCAGUUGGUGAAGAAGGAUAGAGGCAGUAACUGGUCUUUAUUUGACGGUAAUCAACCAGAAAGUCACGGCUAACUACGUGCCAGCAGCCGCGGUAAUACGUAGGUGGCAAGCGUUGUCCGGAUUGAUUGGGCGUAAAGCGAGCGCAGGCGGAAUGAUAAGUCUGAUGUGAAAGCCCACGGCUCAACCGGGGAACUGCAUCGGAAACUGUCAUUCUUGAGUGCAGAAGAUGAGAGUGGAAUUCCAUGUGUAGCGGUGGAAUGCGGAGAUAUAUGGAAGAACACCAGUGGCGAAGGCGGCUCUCUGGUCUGCAACUGACGCUGAGGCUCGAAAGGAUGGGUAGCGAACAGG
rnacentral:rRNA from 1 species